AUUAUAUUGGGUCGAUUUAAGAAGAAUCAAAAGGUUGAGGGAAUUAUUUUGAAGAAAGUGGAGAAGUGAAGGGUAAUGAAUUUGGUGAUGAUGACAAUGGAGAGAAGGUGCAACCGUGUGCGUAGGUUUGUCGCCACUCUUUGUCGGCUCUGUUCUCUAUCUGCUUAACAAGCCCUCACAUUUCCCUAUUUCCACGUUCUUCUUUAGGAUAUGGAGACGGCUUCACUCACGUGUUUGGUAGGGCUUCCACGCACAUGUAUCCAUGUUACUUCUUCCC